rnacentral:other from 1 species
GUUCUACUGCGGCGUUGGUGACUGCCAAUAAUGUUUUAUGAUCUAUGUUUUUGGAAUAAGGGAACCUUAACAAGCGCUGGCAGCAGUAGACCGGGCAUGUACCCGGAAACUUUAAGCCAGCCUACGGUGCCCACCUGGUUUUUACCAGGUCAAAAACUGAGGUAAGACGGCGUUGCGGGGAACUU